UAAUUAGAGGCUAGGAUGAAUGAAUAAACAAUAAUCACCUGUCUUAUCAUUAGACCUGUAAAUUUAUCUUUAGGUGAAGAAGCCUAAAUUUUUAAAAAAGACAAGAAGACCCUAUCAAGCUUGAUUUCUCAUUGAGUUUGUAAAUUCAAUAAAAUUUAGUUGGGGCAACAAAAAAUUAUACACAAUAUUUUCCAAUUAAAGAACUAUUAAUCAAAAAAAAUAAACUUUCACAUAAACAUAAGAAAGCUACUGUAGGGAUAACAGGCUAAUACUUUUCAAGAGUCCUUAUCUACAAAAGUGAUUGGCACCUCGAUGUUGGCUUAGGGUUUCUUAUCUAUGCAGAAGUAGAUAAAGAUGGUUUGUUCAACCAUUAAAUUCCUACGUGAUCUGA
rnacentral:rRNA from 1 species